AGGCGAUGAAGGGCGUGCUAAUCUGCGAUAAGCGCCGGUAAGGUGAUAUGAACCGUUAUAACCGGCGAUACCCGAAUGGGGAAACCCAGUGUGACUCGUCACACUAUCAUUAACUGAAUCCAUAGGUUAAUGAGGCGAACCGGGGGAACUGAAACAUCUAAGUACCCCGAGGAAAAGAAAUCAACCGAGAUUCCCCCAGUAGCGGCGAGCGAACGGGGAGGAGCCCAGAGCCUGAAUCAGCAUGUGUGUUAGUGGAAGCGUCUGGAAAGGCGCGCGAUACAGGGUGACAGCCCCGUACACAAAAGCGCAUGUGCUGUGAGCUCGAUGAGUAGGGCGGGACACGUGGUAUCCUGUCUGAAUAUGGGGGGACCAUCCUCCAAGGCUAAAUACUCCUGACUGACCGAUAGUGAACCAGU
rnacentral:rRNA from 1 species